rnacentral:lncRNA from 1 species
GGGAGGAGGAGGAGGAGGAGGAGGAAGAAGAGGAGGAGGUGGAGUGCUGGAGGAGGUUGCCCAUUCUGCUUUAGUGAGUCUCGUAGGAGGGGUUCCCUGUUUGAGGCACAGAGGACCGGGGAAAGGAUAGCUUUGGAAGCAGGAAGCAGGCAGCGGCAGCAGCGGCAGCAGCACCACCAGCAAGCACCCUUUCCAUGAGGUGUGCACGGUAGUGGGUUCUCAGGCGCUGCGCUGUUGGAAAGAGGUUCGGACGCAUCCUGCGCCCAUGAAGCCAACGCGUUUGCCCCAGGUCUUUGUUUCAAAAAACCUGAUGGUGACAUUGCUGUUGCUUGCUGCCCAGCAUGUUUAAGAAAACUGAUUGCAAGAAAGAAACUUUGAACCUUCAUAUGAUCUGCAGUUGGCAUCACAGGACUCAUGGGCCUGGCUUCCACUGGAACUGAAUAUUACAAUGAAAGCUCCCUCAUGGAACAGCUCGAAGUGCAGGUACAUGCCAAGGCAGAGCAGAUGCUGCUUCUUGGAGCAGGAUCCAUAUUCUUCAAUUACAUCAAAACGUGGGAGUCACUUGGCUCAAGGAGACUGAAGACUGCAGGAAGGGGCUCAGAGCUGUUUACUCGGUUACGUGGUUUGUGACAGUUUGAUGCUAGCCAGGAAAUAGAACCUCAGAGUUGGAAAGCUACAGCUGUGGCAGAAAGAGGACUUGGUUUGGAGCCAGAGGACCUAGAUUUGAAUCCCAGCUUUGCUACUUAGUAUCUGUGACAUCUUUGUCAAGCUACUUCCUCAUGCUCCAUCUCAAGUUUUCUCACUUGCAAAAUGAGAGUAUCAUAGGAGGUGAUCUCUGAGGCGUCUUCUACAUUUACGUCCUGUGAUCCAGCAUUUCUUAAAGUGAGGGAUCAAGAACUAUAUUUUAUUUUGUUUUGAGACUGAGUCUUCCUAUCUCCCCCAGGCUAAAAGUAUAGUGAGAAGGGAGUAGUCAUUGAUAUAGUGCCUACUAUGUGCCAGGCACUAUGCUAAGUGCUUUUUUUUUUAAAAAACAAAUAUUAUCUAAUUUGAUCCUUCCAACAGUCCUGGAGGUAGGUGCUAUUUUUAUUCUCAUUUUACAAAUGAGCAAACUGAGACAAAGAGAGGUUAAGUGACUUGCCCAACUCAAGUCUUCCUGACUCCAGGCUUAGAAUGCUAUUUACUGUACCACCAGCUCUAACUACUCAGGGGCACAAUCCCAUUACUCAUUGGCUGCUCCAUUUCUAACUGGACCAGUUUGCCCUUCCUUAAGCAGUGUGGUGCCCCUCCCCUCCCAAGGGGCUCUAAUUUUGGUGCCUUAGUAUGGAUACCCAAUAACCUUAGCACACUGCAGCUCAGAGCUCCCAUGCUCAAGCUAUCUACCAGCCUUUAUAGCAGCAGGGAUUGCAGAUGUUCACCACCACGCCCAGCUUGCGAGCUUAUCUUCUCAAAAAUAUUUUGGUAACUGUAUUUCAAUAUAAUUUGGUUUCCUUUGCACCAUGUAUUUUAUUUUAUGCGUUUGAAAACAUUGUUCUGAGGAGGGAUCCAUAGGCUUCACCAGAUUGUCAAAGGGGGUCCAUGACACAAAAAAUGGUUGAGAACCCCUGAUCUAGUACAACCUAGACCUGAACAAGGACCUGCUCUACAAUAUCACUUUAAAAAAAAAUCUCCCCAUGUUACAAACUCACCAAAAUUAUCUGGUUGUCAAUAUACUUAUCUGUUGCCCUGGCAAGUGAUUACCCAGAUUUGUUGAAGAGAUCUAGUGGGGAGGAACCCACUAGAUCCCAAAGCAUUCCAUUUUCCUUUGGGAUAAUUACAAUCAUUAGAAAGUUUGCUCUUACAUCAAGCCUAAAUCUGCCUCUACACAACUUCUACUCACGUGACUUGACCUUUCAAAUACUUGGAAACAAUUUUCAUUCAUCUCCUAAGUCUUUUCUUCAAGCUUCAGACUCUUAGCCAUCCUCAAUUCCUUCAACUACUCCUCAACUUCAACACAACUUCAAAGUCCUUUGAUACUCUGCUCCACUUGGGAAACACUUCUAUUUAUUGAUGCCCUUCCUAAAGCGUGGUGUCCAAGACUGACCAUAAUACUCCAGAUGAGGUCUGAACAGGGAAGAGUUAUGUAGAGCUAUUACACCUCUCUAGUCCAGGACAUUCUGCCUCUUAAUGCAGCCUAGUCUUGCAUUUGAUUUUUUUUUUUGUGGCUGAUAUUUAAAAUGAAAACAUCUUAAGGGCAAAGGCCAAUUAAUUUUUGCUCGGAAUCUUUAGAAUCUAGCACAAUAGUGCCCGGCCCAUAAUAGGUGCUUAAUAAAUGUUUAUUGAAUGAAUGUAUAUCA